rnacentral:rRNA from 1 species
UGGGGAAUAUUGGACAAUGGGCGCAAGCCUGAUCCAGCCAUGCCGCGUGAGUGAAGAAGGCCUUAGGGUUGUAAAGCUCUUUCAGUCGUGACGAUGAUGACGGUAGCGACAGAAGAAGCCCCGGCUAACUCCGUGCCAGCAGCCGCGGUAAUACGGAGGGGGCAAGCGUUGUUCGGAUUUACUGGGCGUAAAGGGCGCGUAGGCGGGGUAUCCAGUUAGGGGUGAAAGCCCGGGGCUCAACCUCGGAACUGCCUUUAAAACUGAUACUCUAGAGUCCGGAAGAGGGUCGCGGAAUUCCCAGUGUAGAGGUGAAAUUCGUAGAUAUUGGGAAGAACACCGAUGGCGAAGGCAGCCAUCUGGCCCGGGAUUGACGCUGAGGCGCGAAAGCGUGGGGAGCAAACAGGAUUAGAUACCCCCGUAGUCC